GAAAGAGGAAAUUCAUUCGCGUUUCGACUGUCGAAGUUGAACGUUUGCAAGACGGAUAUUGCUUUCGCAUCGUCCGCUCUUACGUUCAUCGUGUCGAUGUCGAACGCGUGCACUUUUCCUCUAGUAGGACGUCGCGAUCCGUUGGGUGUCUGUCUAAGACUCGAGGUGGAGCCCGCGUAAUUUUUAAUUAUGCGGACCCUUGGUGUUCCGACAGACUCGCUCGACGGUAUACUAAUGGCGCGGGGCCGCUACAUAAGUUAGCGUUCGGCCCGUAUCAAGCACGUUCUGUGUUUGACGGCGAUCGGACCUGGUGCCGAUUCUGUCCCAGAACGACUGUUGGUUACGGUGUUCUCGAACAGACCUCGUAUGAAACGCCGAUCGGCGACGCUCUAGAUUUGGGUACUUUCAGGACCCGUCUUGAAACACGGACCAAGGAGUCUAGCAUGUGCGCGAGUCAUUGGGAUAUAACUAAACCUAAAGGCGUAAUGAAAGUAAAGGUUUACCUUGCGUAGACCGAGGGAGGAUAAGCGGUUUGCCCUUAAAAGUGGCCG
rnacentral:rRNA from 1 species